rnacentral:lncRNA from 1 species
AUUUCUAAAACUGAAGGUUAUUACAUAGGAAGAGUUAUAUUUAUUACAAGUCCUGAUAUACUCAAAGUGCAUAACUCAUUACAAUAGCAGGAAGGUAGGAACCCUACAAAGCUUAUACACAAGCCUAACUAAUCCUCCUCCAGAACUGGAAACACCCUCCAGCCAAAGGAACUCCUGGAAUACUCCUCAUCACCUACAACAAUAUGGGUUCGAAAACCCUGAGUACGGAGUGUACUUUCGCAAGUCUUACCCGACUAAGAAAAAAGACUCUCAAGGAUAUGCUGGUUAAAUAGGAAUCAAGGAAAAAGGCUUUAGCAAGAAUCAACGUAGAUACUUUUGCAGAAAUAGCUUACUAAAGUGAGUCCUUACUUUCAAUAUUUUAACGCCAGAUUAAAUAUUAAUAGACUCUGGUUGCAUCUAGUCUAAUUUCACCAUCUCAUCAAUACAACAUCAUUUUUAUUCAUAAUGUUCACAUCCUGACUUAGGUUGCAGGGCAGCGAUCAAGUCUCCACUCUCCGAGGAUAUAACGACGAUCCGAAUCGAUUUACUCAGCUGAGGAUCUCUAACCACACGACAUAUAUUUCUCGUAACUCUUGCAUAUGUCUACCAUUCCCACGGAUCCUCCACUGCAUGAACAGGUUCGCGCCACCCGAGAGCACACCACCCCUUUUAGGCGGUCCGUUGCUAGGAGGGUACGUGUCACUCUCGCCAUCUCUCCACUCCCAGUGCGCGAUUGUCUUUUCAUGUAUGGAAUAGACGGGUUCAAGCUUACCCUGUCCCAUAUCCAGGGCAUGUGGCUAGUUAAGAUAGUCCUUGAUCAUACAGGCCUACAUACACAUCCAAUCCUUAAUUAACCUGGGUAGAACAUCACCUGUUCCUAGCCCAAGUCUCGAGUUAAGUACUUCCACCCUUAGGAUUGUUUUGUGUUCCUUAGGAUGAAAAGAGCAUUAUAGGGAACUUUGCAGUAAGAUCCCACCAUAUGCUCCCGAUGAAAAUAUUCUUGCAGGUAGAAGCCAUCUUUCCUCAGGAUAACCCCUGAGCUAGGCAUUAAUGCAAAAGACAACCUCUAUCCACAAGAUCUAAGUAGAGCUAAGCAUUUUUGUAAACAAUAGUUGAUACUUCCAAAGAAGUACCUAUAACAGGAAUGGAUAUCAAGGUAGUCAAUGCAGCAAAUGGUUUCCAAGCAACUCCUAUAAACCUAGUGCACAUAUCACUAGACUUAAAGUGUGUAAAAAUCAUUUAAAACACAAGGAAGGGGUUGCAUGCACCGGGGCUUGUCUUUGUUGCAGAGAAGAGGCUCUAGAUCCUUCUACCCAAUCUUUAGUUAGAUAGCUCUAUCCACUUGAUGAGCAGGCACUGGAGUAGACUCCUUCAAACACCACUUCUUCUAGGUGUUCUACAAGUCAAUUACAAAUACAUGUAUGCUUAUGUUAUGAUAUGAAAUGCAAACUCUCACAAGGAGAGGUGGGGAAACAUAAAUACUCCUAAAUAAGUACAUGACAAGUAUACACAUACUUCUACACAACCUAGUACUUCAUAAAAGUGACCAAUUUGAAUUCACUUAGGUAAACCAGGGAAUUAAUCCAACUUAUAUCUCCUCCAAAAGCUUAAAACUUCUUAAGCAACUUCAUCUCUUCCCUAGAUAAACUUAUCUCCUUUCCAAAGCACUAACCCACACUGAAAUGCUAUUUCAGCUAACUGAAUAAAAUUCAGUCACAGUCACUCUGACAGUCCAAUUUUGGACAACCGUUAUUUUGUACUUUAUGUGGAUUCAAGCCUAACUUGCUUAAAGGGAUUUGUUCCUUAUAACAUGGUCUUUCACUUUGCUAUAGAAUUCCUACCCCAAUUCUUCUUGGAUUAAUUACCACAAGGGCCCAAAUUGAAUAAAAACACACAAAUUCAGACUUAAAUAUUAUUCCAAGUCUGAAUCCCAACACAUGACAGUCCACCUUUUGGCCACUUUUAUUCCCAAAUUUAUGUGGAACCAAGUCCACCUCACUUUACAAAACUUACUCUCUUUACUAUGGUCUCCAGCUUUGCUAUGGAAACUUUAAUCCAAAACCCCAUGAAUCAGUCACAAAUGAAUUACAAACUAGGCAUCCUGCUGCAAUUCAGUUCUCAGAACUGAAUAAAAAUUAAGUUAUGUGUCCAGCCUGACAGACCAACUUUAGCCAACCUUUUCUCCAAUUUUUACACAGCAACAGACCAUGUUCACAUUACCAAAGUUAUUCCUUAGAUAUAGCUCUACUACUUUGGUAUAGUACCCCUAGGUUGAAAACAUUCAGAACAAUUUUUAUGAAGCACCAAAGUAGAGCCAAAACCACUGCAGCCCCAUUUUUUUGUGUUCUGAAUCAGCAUUCAUUAUGUCUGACAUAGAAGAUUUGGACAUGUUUUACUCCCAAUUUGGUGUAGCACCAAUCCCAUCUCCCUUUAGUAAUUUUGUUCAUCUUACUAUGGUCUUCAAACUUGCUACAAAACUUUGGACCAAAACCAAAUAGACUGGGCACAAUAGAGCUCCAAAGUUGAGCUCAACACACUAAAACCUAGUUUCAGCCUACUGCACUAAGUCUGGGAUCCAGAAAUCUGACAGCCUAUGUUUGAGCAAAUUUCACACCUAGUUUCAGGCAACCAAUAGUGGUAGAGUUCAAGCAGUAAAUGGUGUGAGCUUCACUGACCUGUGAGGAACAAAGAACGGGCACAACACGGCCAAGACAAUCUCCACGAACCCUGGCCAUGGUGAGGUUGAAGGAUUGCUGUUGUGGUCACCAGACACAGGAGUUGGCUGUGAUGAACAAGGGCAGAUCGAUCUAGUGGCUGAGGAGGGGAGCUAAAACUAUCGUGGACACAGGAACUACAACGCACACGCAGCUACUUUGGCUAGAGGUUGAGGGUAGGGAAAAACUUCACAUAACCAAGCCCUAGUGC